rnacentral:rRNA from 1 species
UACGAAGGGGGCUAGCGUUGCUCGGAAUCACUGGGCGUAAAGGGCGCGUAGGCGGCUAUUUAAGUCGGGGGUGAAAGCCUGUGGCUCAACCACAGAAUUGCCUUCGAUACUGGAUAGCUUGAGUAUGGUAGAGGUUGGUGGAACUGCGAGUGUAGAGGUGAAAUUCGUAGAUAUUCGCAAGAACACCGGUGGCGAAGGCAGCCAACUGGACCAUUACUGACGCUGAGGCGCGAAAGCGUGGGGAGCAAACAGGG